rnacentral:misc_RNA from 1 species
GAUGAAGAACGCAGCAAAAUGCGAUAAGUAAUGUGAAUUGCAGAAUUCAGUGAAUCAUCGAAUCUUUGAACGCACAUUGCGCCCGCCAGUAUUCUGGCGGGCAUGCCUGUUCGAGCGUCAUUUCAACCCUCAAGCACAGCUUGGUGUUGGGACUCGCGUUAAUUCGCGUUCCCCAAAUUGAUUGGCGGUCACGUCGAGCUUCCAUAGCGUAGUAGUAAACCCCUCGUUACUGGUAAUCGUCGCGGCCACGCCGUUAAACCCCAACUUCUGAAUGUUGACCUCGGAUCAGGUAGGAAUACCCGCUGAACUUAAGCAUAUCAAUAAGCGGAGGA